rnacentral:rRNA from 1 species
AGUGAACGCUGGCGGUAGGCCUAACACAUGCAAGUCGAACGGCAGCACAGUAAGAGCUUGCUCUUACGGGUGGCGAGUGGCGGACGGGUGAGGAAUACAUCGGAAUCUACUUUUUCGUGGGGGAUAACGUAGGGAAACUUACGCUAAUACCGCAUACGACCUACGGGUGAAAGCAGGGGAUCUUCGGACCUUGCGCGAUUGAAUGAGCCGAUGUCGGAUUAGCUAGUUGGCGGGGUAAAGGCCCACCAAGGCGACGAUCCGUAGCUGGUCUGAGAGGAUGAUCAGCCACACUGGAGCUGAGACACGGUCCAGACUCCUACGGGAGGCAGCAGUGGGGAAUAUUGGACAAUGGGCGCAAGCCUGAUCCAGCCAUACCGCGUGGGUGAAGAAGGCCUUCGGGUUGUAAAGCCCUUUUGUUGGGAAAGAAAAGCAGCAGGUUAAUACCCCGCUGUGCUGACGGUACCCAAAGAAUAAGUACCGGCUAACUUCGUG